AAACCCGUGAGAUCACGUUCACCUCGAGCCAGGAGAAUGGGAAAUGCAUGUAGGAGCCGGUGCUGCACAACAACACAUGAUCCCGUUUCUACUAACUUCAGUGAGGACAGUGUUUUACUACCAGUGAAGAGAACAGGAGAGCUGCUGCAGUGUCCUAACUGAUACAGAAACCUCAUCUGAACGGGAAAAGCUGCAGCAGUUGUAUGCUUUAUAUGCACUUCUGUAACCCAGAACUUCUCUUGACAAGAUUAAAUGGUCAGCAGAACUCACAUACGUGUUUAUAAUGCUGGGAAGCCAUUUCAAGGUGGUAAGACAGACUAAUUUGAGGUUAUGAGGUUAUGUUCCCAGGGGCUUUUACACAAUGAGAUUUGUUAUUUCAACACAAGAAGUCACGAAAGUAAAACUGGGUCUUAAGCUGGUUGUACACAGAGCUUUCAGCUGAUGCAAUGGAACAGCAUUUCAUCAGUAAUUGGUGAACUUAAAUAUGAGAUGGAAAUCUACAGAUAAAUAAUUAUGAAACAUAAGCUACCUAAACUUCAUCUCACUUAACAAAUCUCUACUGAGAAAAAUGUAUUUCAUUCCCAGUAGUUGAAUGUGUUUUGCUUAUUUGUGUGAAAUUUGGUAGAUUUACUUCAAACUUAAUCACUUUUCAUCUCCAAGUAAUGUGGGAGAACUUGCCUGACUGGACAGAAAACAGUGAAAAAAUCCCACUGAAACAACUGGAACAAUCGUCUUCUUGUAUUAGCACACCAGUGUUUCAGUGUGGAAUGCAGCUUGAUUUGUUCAAAUUGAUGCUGACCAUGGAAUAUAUAUUAUGACAUUUGUUUAA